GUGCUCGCUUCAGCAGCACAUAUACUAAAAAUUGGAACGAUACAGAGAAGAUUAGCAUGGCCCCUGUGCAAAGUUAUAGUUAAUCCAUAGUUUGUAAUAAGAUGUU